UGUUUGAUCGCAGUUCAUGUAUUAAUUUCUAUAGUUGUGGUCGGGAAAGGUGAAUUUUGCUGUUUGCUGUUUGCUGAGAUGUGCUUGCUGUGGUGCUGGUUUUGCUUCACAGAUGGUGGAUAUGAUGUUCAUGCUGGUUGCAAUCUACUGUCUUACCAUUUUUUCUUUGAUAAUGUCCUGAUUGGUAAGAGUUGACACUCACAUUUCAUUUGAGUCCUUCAUCCAUGGGGAUUUUGACUUUUAACCGUACCGUAGUUCUCAACCUUGCUGAUAUUAAAAGAUUCAGCCGACCACGGAGUUUUAGUAGCUGUGGUUGCCUAAAGAUGGAUGCAAUUCGCAUGCCUUUACAUGUGGCUGUUGCAGGCUCAUAUGAAUGCUUCCUCAGUUCAUUUGGGGUCUAACUUUCGGGUACCUCUUUCUUGCAAUGGCAGCCUAUGACGCAGCAUUUUUAGAAAUUUAUGAGUAGAUAGAAACUAUCACCAGGACAUGUUCAUUCAUGUGAAUGAUUUUUUUUUUGUUUCCCUUUGCUUUUUAAUCUUUUUUUUUUUUAAAUGGUUGUUAGACUCCUACAAUAUGGUUAAACAUGUUUUGUUUGGAUGUAGUCUUGUUAUCAGUU